rnacentral:rRNA from 1 species
GGCGAGUGAAGAGGGAAGAGCCCAAGAUUGAAAGCUGGCGUCUUCGGCGUCCGCAUUGUAAUCUCAAGAAGUGUUUUCCGCUUCGGACCAUGCCUAAGUCCCUUGGAAAAGGGCAUCAUAGAGGGUGAUAAUCCCGUACAUGGCAUGGAGCGCCCGAGGCUUUGUGAUACGCUUUCUAAGAGUCGAGUUGUUUGGGAAUGCAGCUCAAAAUGGGUGGUAAAUGCCAUCUAAGGCUAAAUAUUGGGGAGAGACCGAUAGCGAACAAGUACAGUGAUGGAAAGAUGAAAAGAACUUUGAAAAGAGAGUUAAACAGUACGUGAAAUUGCCAAAAGGGAAGGGUAGGAGGUCAGAGAUGCGUCUUGGGAUUCAGCCUUGCUUUUGCUUGGUGUUUUUCCCAAGUUGCAGGCCAACGUCGGUUUUGGGCACUGGAGAAGGGUGGAAGGAACGUGGCACCUCUCGGGGUGUGUUAUAGCCUUCUACUGGAUACAGCGACCGAGACCGAGGACAGCAGCGUACUCGCAAGAGCGGGCCUUCGGGCACCUUUACGCUUAGGGCGUUGGCAUAAUGGCCCUCUACCACCCGUCUUGAACACCCGGAACA